CGCCAAAAAGUUGCGGAUAACAUUGCAUUUUAUCUAAAUAAUUUUUUUAAACUUUGAUUUACAACAUAAAAGAGGUGUAGGCAUAUACCACAAAUAAAAUCAAAAUAUAAUAUUAAUAUUUCACUCAUAAUUUAUCGAAAGAACGAAUAAUUAGAAUUUUUUGGCGGUUACACGCGAAGUGCAUACUGCGUAGUGUGAAUUAUUUUAUUUUUUGUAUUUUUGUUUCCGUCGGGUUUAAAUGUGUAUUAAUUAGUGUUUUAUUAACUGAUUAAUAACUGUGAAAGUACAUAAGUCUGGGAAUAUGAAACCAAAGUUGAUUUUGCGUCUUGAAUUCUUCCAAAAAGUCCACAGAAGCUUCAUUAAGAUUUCUAAAGUUGAUGCUGGCCACAAUAGCAUCGUAAAAGCCUAUUGACGUGCUCAACAGAAGAAAAAAGAAGUCGAACUAAGGAAGAAAAAAAGAAGUCGAAAAAGGAAAAAGACAACACAGGACUUGAGUAUAAGAAACAUUUAUUAAUAUAAUAACAAAGCUAUCGUUAAACAUACAAAUCCAUUUUGGAUGUAUCUAACAUUAAUUUUGAAGGCCCCGUUGAAAGUAAAAUUUCGAGAAUCUUUAAACACUUCCUCUGUGUACAAAUCCGUUUGAUCACUACUUUUAAUGUUACACUUGUAUGAGUUUACGUGAACGCAUAACCCAUCCUCUGGAUUGAAAACAGUAUUCAUUGGACACUCUAUCAAUCUGGCUGUCGCCAAGCCAUUUAUCGCUUCAACGCAAGCAAUGUAUGAUGUGCAGCUUUCACUCGCGAAGUAACCCCUACUCGUGCAAUUGUAAGAUUCGUGGCAAGAGUAACUGGUGACAUUUGUGCAUUGUUGCUCUUUAUGGCUGUAAACGAAGCCUAUGGGGCACGUUAGUCGGUAUUGGGUAAAAUUAUUCGCUCCUCCCAUCAGACACAUAGUGUAUCCACGACAGUCUUCAACAUCGUUGUUUGGAUAUCUUCCACGGGCAGUACAUAGCGAUGUUUGGCUGACACUUUCACAUAAUCCCUGCAAUUAUAUGAUUAAAAUUUAUCAGACUUACUGCCAUAAUGGUUGACAUAAUGUUUGUAGAGU